rnacentral:misc_RNA from 1 species
GAUGAAGAACGCAGCGAAAUGCGAUACGUAAUGUGAAUUGCAGAAUUCAGUGAAUCAUCGAAUCUUUGAACGCAUAUUGCGCUCUCUGGUAUUCCGGAGAGCAUGCUUGUUUGAGUAUCAGUAAACACCUCAACUUCCAUAUCUUUUUUGAAAUGGGAGUUGGACUUGAGUGAUCCCAACGCUUUUCCUCACCGAAAAGUGGCGGGUUACUUGAAAUGCAGGUGCAGCUGGACUUUUCUCUGAGCUAUAAGCAUAUCUAUUUAGUCUGCCUAAAAAACAGAUUAUUACCUUUGCUGCAGCUAACAUAAAGGAGACUAGUUCUUGUGCUGACUGAUGCAGGAUUCACAAAGACAGGCUUCGGCCGACUUUGUAAACUCGAUCUCAAAUCAAGUAAGACUACCCGCUGAACUUAAGCAUAUCAAUAAGCGGAGGA